rnacentral:tRNA from 1 species
GUUGAGGUAGCCUAGUCUGGUAGGGCGUUAGACUGCUAAUCUAAUGAUGUAAUAUCUCAUGGGUUCAAAUCCCAUCCUCAACG